rnacentral:rRNA from 1 species
AUUGAACGCUAGCGGGAUGCUUUACACAUGCAAGUCGAACGAGCGGCGGACGGGUGAGUAAUGUAUGGGGACUGCCCGAUAGAGGGGGAUAACUACUGGAAACGGUAGCUAAUACCGCAUACUAUCGGAUAACCCAUAUGGGAUUAGCUAGUAGGUGAGGUAAUGGCGCACCUAGGCGACGAUCCCUAGCUGGUCUGAGAGGAUGAUCAGCCACACUGGGACGUAGACACCGCCCAGAAUCCGACGGAGGCCGCAGUGGGGAAUAUUGCACAAGGGGCGCAAGCCUGAUGCAGCCAUGACGCGUGUAUGAAGAAGGCCCUAGGGUUGUAAAGUACUUUCAGUCGGGAGGCGUUACCGACAGAAGAAGCACCGGCUAACUCCGUGCCAGCCGCCGCGGUAAUUC